rnacentral:misc_RNA from 1 species
GUAUAGCCCUUUGCAACAAGGCGACCUUUAAGUCUAUCAAUUUGGCGAUCAGGCCCCGCCUUGACUAUAUAAAGCCAUCGACAGCCAACAAUUGAUUUGCCCUUCGGUAAUGGCACCAAAUCCCAAGUGUCAUUAUUAUGGAGAGCAGUCAUCUCCUCUAUCAUUGCAUUACGCCACCUUGGAUGUGAUAAUGCUUGCUUAACAGUCUUUGGGAUAGGAACAUUAGACAAAGUAGAAACAAAGGCAAAAUAGGAAGGGCAUAAACAAUGAUAACUCAGAAAAUUAUAAAUACGGUGAGGGUUGUGAGAUGAACGAAUACCUUUUCGAAGGGCAAUGGGAGGAGUAGUUGCUUUUGCUUGUGGCAUAACUGAUGUAGGUGAUGGUAGUGGUACAGGAGGUGAGUCACUUUGAUUUGGUUGUCUACCUAUAUCAUCAUGAGGAAUAGUAUGUGAGUUAGCAGAAAUAUUGGGGGGAGGUCGUCGUGUGUAGACCUGAAGAGGAGGUGGGAUGAUUUUUGGAGCAAGAACAAUGGGAACUAGUAAAGCCUUAGAAAUAUUGUUUUGGUGUACUGUAUUUGGUGAGAAGUAUGAUGAAUCUUCAAAGAAGGUUACAUCUGCAGAGAUGAAAUGUUUGUUUGUAGUUGGGUCAUAACAUUUGUAACCUUUUUGUAGAUGAGAGUAUCCUAGGAAGACACAUUUAAUAGAUUUUAGUUGAAGUUUGUCUUUUCCUAGAUUAAGAUUAUGCACAAAACAGAUACAACCAAACACAUGAGGAGAAAGAGGGUAAGGAGUUUGAUCUAGAAACAAAAUGGAAUGAGGACUGUAAUUUGUAAUACAAAAGAAGGCAUACGAUUAAUUAAGGAACAAAUAGUAAAAAUAGCAUCCUCCCAAAAACAAAGUGGAACGUGAUAGUGUAUGAGUAAGGUACGUGCG